CUGCCUGAUCUUGAAAAAGUUUCAAGAUCUAACCCUGAAACCCUAAAUCUGGUUCCUUCAUCUUCUUCAACAUCGAUCAACACCCAACCUAGACAACCACAUACUCUAUAUCCUUUAUUGGGAAGGAUCUCUAAUAAGUGCGAAAUACGGAUCCCCCAUCCAAGAUCACUAACCCAGAUGACAAUGUCGAUAUCGCAAUAAGGAAUAAGAGAUAUAAAAAAGACAAUCAAAUAUAUGGAUCAGCUCAAGACUUACCUCCAUGAGGCAUGCAAGCUUCACUAUGAAAGAAAAAAUAAAUACAAAAGGAGAUCGCACCCUCUUAACUCUCAUAUAUCAAUCUCUUUCUCAACAAGAAGCACUCGAUCCUUACAAUGCUCUCAAAAUACCCCAAAAAAACCCUCUGCCGCUCACCAAGACCCUCAAGCUAGGCUCUCAGUUUCCACAGGCCGUCAGGCCCUUUUAAGGAGUCCAAAUCGAAUCCUAAUCGCAUCUAUACUCCUAUUUGCACUCAAAAAACCCCUUCUGACUGUUUGAUCUCGCCCGCUCGCUUUCCUAACAAUCCGACAUGCAAAAUAGCACCCAAUCAGCACCCUCAACCGUCAGAUCGUGCCUUUUCGUGCGUGGACCGUGCAUUGACAAUGCGAAACAAUCCGUGGACCGUGCGAAAUGCCUGGGUGCGUUUCUACACUGUGGACCAUGCAUGCACUGCGCGCCUCAUGCGCGGGCAUGCCCUAGAACGCACGGUGGACCGCGCAGUGGUCCAUGCAUCUCGAGCCAUGCACUGUAGGCCUGGGGCCUGCAGGCCUGUGCACGGCUAUUCGCUGCGCCUGUGGGUCACCUUCGUCUUGGGCUUCGCUGCUAUGGAUUUUUCUGUCGUGGAUCGAAUUUUGAGGCAUCAAAACUCAACAGAACCCAUGUGUGGUUGUGCAUAAAUCUAGUAAUGGACUAAGCUAUCUCAAUAAUCUAUUUCACACUAAAGAUUUUUCUGAUGUCCAUCGAUCUAUGAAGUAUGCAGCAUAUGGAGUCCAAAAAAAUAUGGUCAUCCAAUCAUCAAAAUAUCCCUGAUAACCUGAUGUUAUGUCCCCUUAUCUGUGAUCACCUGCAUAACAUGCUGCUCCCCUAUUUGAUCUACAACUUCAUCAAACUAAGGAUAUAAUGGGCAUCUUGCAUGUGAUCUAAAGCAUCAACUAACUACUGGAAAAAUAUUGUCAUAUCAUAAUAUGUCAAGAAAUUAUUAUGCUCUAUCUGCUGAAACCUAUCCAACCAACACACAUCCAAAUCAAUCCAUAGGUAUCCCACUUGCUUUAGUAGAAGGCUAUCUAUUUCUCUAACUCCUUAUCCAUACAUAAUACAAAUUGUUCAUAAUUUUUGUAAUUAUUUUAAAUAUUUUUAAUUAAUUUUUUAAUUAAUAAAUUAAUUAACUAUAAAAUAUCUGAAAAAAUAGUUUUAAUUUGGACUAGUAUAGCAUCCUACCAGCAUUGAUGCAUAUAUUUUUCUCAACACAUAGAUAUGCACUAAUCGCCACUUAUUUUAAAACUUAUUUAAAUUUGGGCUUAGGUUGCUACACUAAUGACUAAUGAGCAUGCCCAAAUUUAAAGAAAUUGCCAUCAAGUUG
rnacentral:lncRNA from 1 species